AGAGUUUGAUCCUGGCUCAGGACGAACGCUGGCGGCGUGCCAUAUAUACAUGCAAGUAGCACGCUGAAGAGAGGAGCUUGCUCUUCUUGGAUGAGUUGCGAACGGGUGAGUAACGCGUAGGUAACCUGCCUUGUAGCGGGGGAUAACUAUUGGAAACGAUAGCUAAUACCGCAUAACAAUGGAUGACACAUGUCAUUUAUUUGAAAGGGGCAAUUGCUCCACUACAAGAUGGACCUGCGUUGUAUUAGCUAGUAGGUGAGGUAAUGGCUCACCUAGGCGACGAUACAUAGCCGACCUGAGAGGGUGAUCGGCCACACUGGGACUGAGACACGGCCCAGACUCCUACGGGAGGCAGCAGUAGGGAAUCUUCGGCAAUGGGGGCAACCCUGACCGAGCAACGCCGCGUGAGUGAAGAAGGUUUUCGGAUCGUAAAGCUCUGUUGUAAGUCAAGAACGGGUGUGAGAGUGGAAAGUUCACACUGUGACGGUAGCUUACCAGAAAGGGACGGCUAACUACGUGCCAGCAGCCGCGGUAAUACGUAGGUCCCGAGCGUUGUCCGGAUUUAUUGGGCGUAAAGCGAGCGCAGGCGGUUUGAUAAGUCUGAAGUUAAAGGCUGUGGCUCAACCAUAGUUCGCUUUGGAAACUGUCAAACUUGAGUGCAGAAGGGGAGAGUGGAAUUCCAUGUGUAGCGGUGAAAUGCGUAGAUAUAUGGAGGAACACCGGUGGCGAAAGCGGCUCUCUGGUCUGUAACUGACGCUGAGGCUCGAAAGCGUGGGGAGCGAACAGGAUUAGAUACCCUGGUAGUCCACGCCGUAAACGAUGAGUGCUAGGUGUUGGAUCCUUUCCGGGAUUCAGUGCCGCAGCU
rnacentral:rRNA from 1 species